rnacentral:lncRNA from 1 species
GCUGAAGUUCAGCCCCAAGUCUGACUAAAAAAGCAUGAAAACUAUAGGCCAGAAAGAGAAGGCAAUUAAAACCAGGAAUGAAAAUACAGGAGGGGAAGUUGCUGUGUGAUCUUGGACGAGUUACUGAACCUUGCUGUGUUUCUUCAUCAAUGAAGUGGAAUCAUCAUGGACUCCAUCUCAUCAGAUUGUUUUGAAGAGUAAGUGAGAUAAUGGACACACAGUGCCCAGCACAGAGCCUGACCUAGAGUAUGCCCUUGCGUGAGUCAAGGUAGGCUAGUUGUGUCGUUAUGACAAUCAAUGCAGGGUUUAAGUAUCUUUAAAACAUAAACAUUUAUUUAUUUAUUUUUACCUAAUGUUGGCCGUCAGUCUGGGAGAUUCCUCCAAGGAGUGGCUCAAUGAUAAAGGCUGCUUCGACCUCAUGGCACCCCGUCUCAAUACAUACAUCUGUGGUUGUGAUGUAGGUGGGACAGAUGGAGGGUCUCACUGAUAGUGAGUGCUUUGGCCUGGAAACGACUCACAUCACUGCCACUCACAGCCAAUUGGCCAGAAAUAGUCAUAUGAUCCCAAAGCAAAAAAAAAAAAAAAAAAAAAAACCUCAAAAAAAAAAAAGCAACACAGAACUAUAAUCUUUCCAGGUGCCCAGAACUGGGUGAGCCCAGCGUUCCAUGUAGCUGAACUACACAGCACUCUAUGCAGCCAUAUAUCAGGAAAGUGCCCUCCAAGAAGUUGGCUGAUGUGGAAGCCACACAAGUUUGGUGAAGUCCUCAGUCCCCUAAAAAUACUUUACAUUUUUAAUUAGUCUUCAGAAUUCUAGUAUUCCUUAUGUCCUGGACAGUUUAAAAUAAUGUCCCUAAUUUACAGGAAAGCUACCAUUUCCUAGAAAAUGCGUAAGGCUAUUCCUAGGAUUUUGAGAGAUUUGGUGCUGGUAAUGAGGAUGGGGAUGUGACAAUUAUUUUUCUAAAUUCCAUCUAAGGUGGUUCAUGUAGAUCUGGUAUUUUGAUCUUUCCCUGAUGCUAUUUUUUCCAUAGGGUGGAUUGGUGUCCCUGUGGAUGGGGAGUGAGGCUAGGAAAGGCAGCUCAGCGCAUCUUUGGGCCUGUGAGCUGUGAGAAGUUCCUGCUCCCUGACAGUUGAAUCAAUUCUCUGUCACGUAAAAACUAAUAAAGAAAGAAUGACAAAGCAGCUUAUGGAAAUGGAGCCACACUUCAUGUUCCAACAGGCUCUGUGGUGGCAUUGAAAGAGAGUAUCCCACAAUCAAGAUUAAAACCAGCAGCCUGACAACCACCAGAAGAGACAGAAUGGGACUGGACUUCCUCCAAAGCCUCAUUCCUGGGGAAUUGUUGUUAUUUGACUUGUCUGGUGGGUCCCUGGACCUACUUGCAAGGCGUCUUUUAUUUGUUUUAACUCAGAGCUCAUCCAGUGAAAAAAAAUCUUUCUCCAAGGGCAUUUAUCAAAACUAUUUAGAGGCAGUUGUUCUACUUUGACACUGCCUGAGGUGGAGAUAGCAGUUGGGGCAAACAAUAGGCUAGAGAGUGAGAUAUCCAUAGGGGCUUUGAAAUCCUCUGAUAUAUUCCUGGGAAUCUAUAAGUCCACAUACAGAUGUAGGCUGUGUGCAUGCCAGGAGAUUUACACAUGAUCAGUAAAGACCUGAGAAGUCCGUAAAUUCUCACUGCUGGAUGACCCUGAGGCUCUGUGUAGGCAGGAAAUGAAGGCUAAGGCAGAGUUGUCAAUUGUCUGGCUGCAUAAAGAAGGCACACUCCAACACAAAGAGUCUUUCAGCCAAGCCUGGAAGACUUAUUGGUUACAGGUGUAUAAAAAAAAAAUCUCUGUCCAGUAAUUAGCUUACCAAUAAGUUAAUUGAUCAGAGAUAUCAGUGGCCACACAUGACAGAGAAUACAGACUUAACAUAAUUAGUUCAUGACAAGUCACCAAACAGAAACAACAAAAAACAAAAUCAAACCAUGGGGAGAGUGGUUGAAUCAGAUAUCCAGAACAACCACAUUAUAUAAUUUAAAAUAUAAAUUUUCAGAAAAAAAUUUAGAGACAGGCAAAUAAAUAAGAAAGUAUAGUCUGUACAAAUGAAAAAAAUAAUCAACAGAAAGUGUCCUUGAGGAAGCCCAGAUACUGGAUUUAUUUAACAAAGACUUUAAAUUAGAUACUUAAAAUAUGUUUAAAGAGCUAAAGGAAACUGUCUAAAAAGCUAAAAAAGCAUAAGAAUAAUGUCUUAAUAAAUAGAGAGUGACAAUAAAGAAAUAUACAUUAUGUAUAAAAAAACUAAAUAGAAAUUCUAGAGUUGAAAAGUCAAAAUAACCGUAUAAAAUAAUUCACAUGAUUUAAAAGCAAAUUUGAGAGAAAAUGGCUUCAAGAUGACUGACCAGACUUGGUACUCACCUCUUCCACAGAGAGGAACCAAAAUAGCAAGUAGAUAAUCACACUUUGAAUAGAUUAUCUAAGAAAGGACACUGGAAUUCAACAGAGAAAUGAUGGGCAACACUGAAAGCAAAGGAGAGGGAAGUGAGGUAGCAUGUUUGGCCAGGAUUGGCUGCGAGUCUGUAGAAGCUCCCUAAUUUGGGGAAAGGGUAAAUGAGAGACCCCCAGAGGUCGACAUUCCUGCCACAAACUCCUAUAAUCUUAGUCACCGGAGAGCCCCUAGGCCCUAGAGGACCUGAAGACUAACAUAGGGAGCUGCCUGAAGACCACAUGAAGGCAUUGGUCUAGAGAGAGAGAGCUCACACUGGGUUUCACAAAUCCCUAGUCCUAAGAAGAUGCAUCAUGAUGCCAUUCUGAGAGCCCAGCCCCACCUGACUGUCCUGCCCUUGGGCUCAACAGCUUCUAUAUCUCCACAUUCCUGGAUCCCCAUUGCCCAUAGCCACUGCUGUUGAGGGGAGUGAAUGGAAGCUAUGGGCAGCAACACGCCUUGCCCUCCUCCCAACGGAGAGGCAGCUAUGUAUUUCCACAUGCCCUGAGGACAAAUUCCACUGUCCACAACUGCGGUUGCUCUUGGCUGCUGUGGGCUGAGGUGUAAGAGAAACUUGAGCCACUCAGCUACCUGCUUACAGCUGCUCCCACUAAAAGCAAGCUUGUCAUCUUCUGUGUCAGGCCUGAAGUGCACCUGCUACUGCCCUACCUGAGCAUUCUGCCGGUGGCCUGGGGAUCACCCCACCCCUCCUGCCACACAACUCUGGGGGGUCUGAGGGCGGGUCCACUGGACCUGCUCCACAUUCCCAGUACCUGACUACAUUGUCUGGGUGCCUGGAGCUUGCCCAGCUGAGUCCACCAAUGUUGGCACUUGAGCAUUCCUCCCAGGGUCUGAGAUUGGGCCCGUUCACCCUACUGAUGCCACCACAGCUGGCAUCCAUGUGCAUGCACCACAUGUGGGUCUGGGGACUGGCCCAUCCAGCCCAUUGCAGCCAUCACCAACACCAGUGCAAACAGUUUGGGUCCCAGAGGGUUGUCCUACUCCCACCAUUGUUACUUCCAUUGCUUAUGCCACACCUACUGCCCAGGAGAUUGAGAGCUCAACUACCUGCCUGGCCAAUUGCUGCCAUUCCCAGCAUGCAAGCAAGUCUCCUGGAGGCCCAAGAAUCAGCCUACCUGAACCUGCUAACACUGUUGCCAGUAUACACUGCCCGAGGGCCCAGGGACAGGCACACUUAGUUGACAAGGAACACAAGGAUUCUCUAAUAAGAGAUCCAAAUCAGAAAGAAUUUUUAAAAAUUACAGAAAAAGAAUUUAGUUUGACACUAAAUAAGCUCAAUGAGAUAAGAGGAUAUCGAAAAGCAAUACAAAGAAAUUAGAAGAACAAAUCAGGAUAUGAAUGAGAAAUUUAUCAAAGAAAUAGAUAUUACAAAAGAGAACCAAACAGAAAAUCUGAAGAAUCUGUUGAAUGAAAUACAAAAUACCUUCAAAAGCUUUAACAGUAGAAUAUAGCAGGCAGAAGAAAGACUCUCAAAACUUGAAGACAAGUCUUUUGAAAUAACCCAGUCAGACAAAAAUAAAAAAGAAUGAAAAAGCCUUAUGACAUAUGGGACACCAUAAAGCAAUCAAAUAUUCAAAUUUUUGAUGUCUUAGAAGGCAAAGAGAAAAUGAAAGAGAAAACAUAUUUAACAGAAUAGUAGAUGAAGACUUCUCAAGUUCACCAAGAAAUUUAGAUAUCUAGAUUCAGGAGGCGCAAAGAAAACCAAAUAGAUACAAUUCAAUGUCUUCUCCACAGCACAUGGCAGUCAAACUGUCAAAAGUCAAAGACAAUGGAAAAACUCUAAAACCAGCAAGAGAAAGUCAUCUAGUCACUUAUAAAAACCUCCCUCCCGACUAACAGCAGAUUUCUCAGCAGAAACCUUACAGACCAGGAGAGAAUGGGAUGAUAGGUUCAAAGUGUGAAAGAAAAAGAGUGUCGGCCAAGGAUACUAUAGCCAGAAAAGUUAUACUUCUUAAACGAAGAAGAAAUAAAGUCUUUUCAAGACAAGCAAAAGCUGAGGGAAUUCAUCAACACUUGAACAAUCCUACGAGAAAUGCAUAAGGGAGUCCUACACCCAGAAGAGAAAGAACAAAAACUACCAUCAUGAAAACACAUCAAAAUAUAAGAACCACCGGUAGAGCAAACACAGAAACAUGAAAGAGAAAAAGAUAAAGGAGCAGAAAGAAUACUUGAAGAAAUAAUGGCCAAAACUUCCCAAAUGUGAUAAAAACCACUAAUCUAUAGAUCCAAGAAUAUCAAUGACAUCAUAUAGGAUAAACUAAAAAAGAGCCACUUCUAGAAAUAAAAUAAUUAAACUGCUGAUAGCCAAAACAAACAGAAAAUCUUUAAAGCAGCAAAGUAGAAGCUGCAUUGCAAAUGAUGCCUAAUAGAUUAACAGCCAAUUUCUCAUCAGGAUCCAUGGAAGCCAGAGGCAAUGGGAUGACAUAUUCAAAGUACUGAAUGAAAACAACUGUCAAUCAAGAGUGUAUGUCCAGCAAAACUAACUUUAAAGAUGAAGGAAAAAUUAAGACUGUCAGAUAAACAAAAACUGAAAGAAUGUGUCACUAGCAAAUCUCUUGUGUAAGAUAUAGUAAAGGAAGUCCUUCAGGCUAAAAUUAAAGGAUAUUAGUAACUUGGAUCUGCAUGAAUAAAUGGAAAGCAUUGGUAUGUUGGAAUAUAAAAGACAGAUAAAUAUAUAUUUUAUUUGUAAGCUUUUUCUCCCAUGUGAUUUAUGGGAAACUGCAUAGAGUAAUAAUUAUAAAUCUGCAUUUUGAAAAUAUGUGCAAUGUAUAAAGAUGCCAUUUGUGUGACAAUAACACCACAAAGAAAAGAUGAUACAGCUAUAUAGAAUCAAGUUUUUUGUAUACUAUUAAAACUAAGUUCAUAUUAAUUUAAACUAGAUUAUUAUAAAUUCAGAUGUUAAUUGUACUCUCCAGUGGAACUACUAGGAAAGUAAUUGAAAAAAAAAGUGUCUCUUGCCACUUCUACUCAAAAUUUGACUGGAGGUGUUAGCCAGGAGAGUUGGGUAAGGAAAUAAAAAAUAAAAGACAUCAAGAUUGGGAAGAAAGAAAUAAAACUCUAUUCACAGAUGAUGUGAUUUUUUUUUUUUUGUAGAGAAUUCUAAGAAAUUCACAAAAAAUUUUAAAGCUAUAAAAAUGAGUUAUAAGAUUGCAGAAUGAAGUAUCAACAUACAAAAAUUAAUUGUAUUUUUGUAUAUUCAUGAGUAAUCCAAAAAGCAAAUAAAACAAUUUUAUUUAAAAAGCACAAAAGAAUAAAGUAUUUAGAAAUAAGUUUGACAAAAGAAGUGUGAAACUUGUAUACUGAAAACUAAAAACAGUGUUGAAAGAAAGUUUUAGAAAUCUUCAAAUUGAUGGAAAGGCAUCCUGUGUUCAUAGAUUGGAACACUUAAUAUGGUCAUUGACACUAAUCCAACAUUGACAGACAAAGAGAAUCUCUUUCAAAAUUGCAGCAUAAUUUUUUUUGAAUUGACAAGUUGAUUUUGACAUCCAUUUGGAAAUUCAAGGGGCCUGAAGAGCCAAAACAAUCUUCAAAAUGAUUGGAGGACUUACACUACCAAAUUUCAAAAGUUACUACAAAGCCUUAUACUUAAGACUGUAUCAUACUAGCAUAAUGAUAGGCAUGUAGAUUAAUGAAAUAAAAUUCAGCAUCCAGAAAUAAACCCAUGUAUUUAUGGACAAAUGAUUUUCUACAAGAGUACCAGGACAAUUUAGUUGGGGGAAAGAAUAGUCUUUGCAACAUGUUACUGGGAUAGUAGAGGUCCAUAUGUAAAAAAAAAAUGAAGUUGGACCCCUAACUCAUACCAUAUAUAAAAAUUAACUCAAAAUAGAUCAAAAACUUAAAUGUAAGAGCUAAAACUAUAAAGUUCUUAGGAUAAUACAUAACUAUAACUCAUCAUGACCUUUGAUCAUACAAUUACCUUGGAUCAGGCAAUGGUUUCCUAGAUAUGAUACAUAAAUCGAAACAAUUAGUGAAGAAUAAUACAUAAGAUUUCAUAAAAAUUAAAAACGUAUUUGUUUUAAAGAGCAUUAUUAAAAGAGUGAAAUGACAGUUAACAUAAUGGGAGAAAAUAUUUGCAAAUUAUAAAUAUUAUAAAGAGGUAGUAUCAAGAAUAUUUAAAGAAUUCUUACGACUAAAUAAUAUGAAGACAACCUAAUCAAAAAUGGGCAAAAGGGUUGGGCAUGGUGGCUUAUACCUGUAAUCCCAGCACUUUGGGAGGUCAAGGUGAGAGGAUUUCUUGAGGCCGGGAAUUCAAGACCAGGCUAGAAAACGUAGUGAGACCCCACCUCUACAAAAAAAUUAAACAAAAAUUUAGCCAGGCAUAGUAGUGUGCAGCACUGUAGUCCCAGUUACUUGGCAGGCUGAGGUGAGAGGAUUGCUUGAGCCUGGGAGGCUGACACUGCAGAGAGCUGUGAUCUCACCAUUGCACUCCAGCCUGGGCAACAGAGCAAGACCCCAUCUCUAAGAAAAAAAAAAGAAAAGGAAAAAAAGCGUCAAAAAUUUUAAUUAAAGAUUUCUUCUGUGAAAGGAAAAUAAAUCUUGAGGCCCCCAAAUCGCUAAGCUAAAGGGAAAAGUCAAGCUGGGAACAGCUUAGGACCAACCUGACUCCCAUUCUAUUCAGGCACUCCUCUGCUCACUGAGAUAAAUACAUAUCUGAUUGCCUCAUUUGGAGAGGCUAAUCAAAAAACUCAAAAGAAUGCAACCAUUUGUCUGUUAUCUACCUAUGACCUGGAAGCCCCCUCCCCGCUUUGAGUCUUCCUGUCUUUGCUUCAAGGUGUCUUGCCUUUCCAGACCAAAUCAAUGUUCAUCUUGCAUAUUUGAUUGAUGUCUCAUGUCUCACUGGAAUGUAUAAAACCAAUCUGUGCUCUGAGCACCUUGGGCACGUGUAGUCAGGACCUCCUGAGGCUGUGUUGUGGGCACACAUCCUCAACCUUGG